AAGACCUUGCGCUUUUGGAGCGGCCGACGCCUGAUUAGCUUGUUGGUAAGGUAAAAGCUUACCAAGGCUUCGAUCAGUAGCUGGUCUGAGAGGACGACCAGCCACACUGGGACUGAGACACGGCCCAGACUCCUACGGGAGGCAGCAGUGGGGAAUUUUGGACAAUGGGGGCAACCCUGAUCCAGCCAUGCCGCGUGAGUGAAGAAGGCCUUCGGGUUGUAAAGCUCUUUCAACCGGAACGAAACGGUUACGGAUAACACCCGUGACUACUGACGGUACCGGAAGAAGAAGCACCGGCUAACUACGUGCCAGCAGCCGCGGUAAUACGUAGGGUGCGAGCGUUAAUCGGAAUUACUGGGCGUAAAGCGUGCGCAGGUGGUUUUGUAAGUCAGAUGUGAAAGCCCCGGGCUCAACCUGGGAACU
rnacentral:rRNA from 1 species